ensembl:rRNA 5S_rRNA 5S ribosomal RNA
CCGGCCUGCGAGCGCCUGGCGCCGUCUCACGGCAGAAGCUAAGCGGGGUCAGGCCUGGCCAGUGCUCGGGUGUGAGACUGCCUGGGAAUACGAGGC